CUCCAGACUCCUACGGGAGGCAGCAGUGGGGGAUAUUGCACAAUGGGGGAAACCCUGAUGCAGCGACGCCGCGUGAGUGAAGAAGUAAUUCGUUACGUAAAGCUCUCUCAGCAGGGAAGAAAAUGACGGUACCUGACUAAGAAGCCCCGGCUAACUACGUGCCAGCAGCCGCGGUAAUACGUAGGGGGCAAGCGUUAUCCGGAUUUACUGGGUGUAAAGGGAGCGUAGACGGCUGUGCAAGCCAGAUGUGAAAGCCCGGGGCUCAACCCCGGGACUGCAUUUGGAACUGUGUGGCUGGAGUGUCGGAGAGGCAGGCGGAAUUCCUAGUGUAGCGGUGAAAUGCGUAGAUAUUAGGAGGAACACCAGUGGCGAAGGCGGCCUGCUGGACGAUGACUGACGUUGAGGCUCGAAAGCGUGGGGAGCAAACAGGAUUAGAUACCCCUGUA
rnacentral:rRNA from 1 species